CUCCUGAUGGUGUAGUUGGUUAUCACAUCCGGCUGUAAUUAAAACGAUACCGGUUGGUCGCUAGUUCGAUUCUGGCUCAGGAGA
rfam:Schizosaccharomyces pombe chromosome II, complete replicon